UACGAAGGGGGCGAGCGUUGUUCGGAUUUACUGGGCGUAAAGGGCGCGCAGGCGGCGCAUUUUGUCAGGCGUGAAAGCCCCGGGCUUAACCUGGGAACUGCGUUUGAUACGGAUGGGCUAGAGUUCGGGAGAGGAGAGUGGAAUUCCCAGUGUAGAGGUGAAAUUCGUAGAUAUCGGGAGGAACACCAGUAGCGAAGGCGGCUCUCUGGGCCGGUACCGACGCUGAGGAGCGAAAGCUAGGGGAGCAAACAGG
rnacentral:rRNA from 1 species